rnacentral:rRNA from 1 species
GCUGCCCUCUUUCUUCUUUCCUAAUACAUGCAAGUCGAGCGAACAGACGAGGAGCUUGCUCCUCUGACGUUAGCGGCGGACGGGUGAGUAACACGUGGAUAACCUACCUAUAAGACUGGGAUAACUUCGGGAAACCGGAGCUAAUACCGGAUAAUAUAUUGAACCGCAUGGUUCAAUAGUGAAAGACGGUUUUGCUGUCACUUAUAGAUGGAUCCGCGCCGCAUUAGCUAGUUGGUAAGGUAACGGCUUACCAAGGCAACGAUGCGUAGCCGACCUGAGAGGGUGAUCGGUCACACUGGAACUGAGACACGGUCCAGACUCCUACGGGAGGCAGCAGUAGGGAAUCUUCCGCAAUGGGCGAAAGCCUGACGGAGCAACGCCGCGUGAGUGAUGAAGGUCUUCGGAUCGUAAAACUCUGUUAUUAGGGAAGAACAAAUGUGUAAGUAACUAUGCACGUCUUGACGGUACCUAAUCAGAAAGCCACGGCUAACUACGUG